UACGUAGGGGGCAAGCGUUGUCCGGAAUCAUUGGGCGUAAAGCGUGUGUAGGCGGGCCGUUAAGUAUCUUGUGAAAUCCCCCGGCUCAACCGGGGAAUGGCUGGAUAUACUGGCGGUCUUGAGCGAUCUAGGGGCAGAUGGAACAAGUGGUGGAGCGGUGAAAUGCGUAGAUAUCACUUGGAACGCCAAAGGUGAAAACAGUCUGCUGGGGAUCUGCUGACGCUGAGACACGAAAGCCAGGGGAGCGAACGGG
rnacentral:rRNA from 1 species